rnacentral:sRNA from 1 species
CAGGUUCUCCUCACAUUACCUUCAUGUUUCUUCAUCCUAGCCUGGACCACACAACAAAACCACCUGCCUCUGCUUCCCAGGUGCUGUGAUUAAAGGCCUGUGCCACCGGGACUGCAUGGUGUUUUCUUAUGGAUUAUCUGAAGAAGGAUAUGAUCCCUGAAAGAUUAUUGGCUGGAGAUUCUUAACCAUGAGAACACAGUGCCUGCGAACAUAUUGUUGAUGGAGCCUGGUUAAUUCCUACAUUAGUGAUCAAGUACAUGUACCACAUGGCAAACCAUCUGCUAUCAGACAUUCUGAUUAGCGAGGAGGGUGCCUAAUGUGCUGUUUCUGUCUUUGGGGUAAGAUUUCUGGUAGUUUAUGUCUCUGAUGGAGGCCAUAGAUAUAAUUAGGGCCUUAUUCUCUGAUGUACAAGUAAAAGCUAUUUCCAGUAUGAUUAUAUUUCUCCCUCUUUCUCAUAUAUAUGGUUAAAACGUGACUAUGCAGCUAAUAACGGUACUAAUCUUCAUGUUUCUGUAUCUAGGUUAUGAUGUUUACUCCUUAAAUAUAAUGGUGGAAAUAAAAACAACUUACCAGGUAAUUAUCAUCCUUCCCACAUAUUGAUGUGGACCAUGGAUGGUUUCCUGGUACCCUCCUUUUUGAAAAUUUCCCUUUAUUAUGAGAACUUUUGACUCAGAGUUCUGCAAAUGGUCAAAGGUCAUGAAAUAAUAAUGACCUUAGCAAUGUCAUGUGACACAGAAAAUUUCCCUUAGUGUAGUUCUAUAGCAGGUUAGAGCAUCACAAUGAUUACAUCAUAAACAGUGUGGACACAUAAAAUAUUCCAGGUUAGUCUUGCUAUGAGCCUCAGUCACAGUAUGGGACAUUUGAUCUUCAAAGUUACAAGUAAGUGACGAUGGUCUCUCUGGUACAUCUUGACACCAAUCUUUUGCUACCUCUACUGGUGUAAAAGAUAUGAUUCAGUUCUUAGCAAUUGUGGUAGCCAUGAGUGAAUAUUCCUCAGGUAGUAGUGAAAAUUUAUGAUGCGCCUGAACAUGUGGGGUUUGACAAUGUCCCACAGAUAGGCCCACAGGCCCAUACAAUGAAGACAACUCCUCAAGAGGCUUCCUCUUUAUGGGUGUCUCUAGUUUGUGUCACAUUGACAACAACUAAGCAGCUGGUAGUUUUUGUCAACUUGCUGGUAUUAGCUCAUUCAUAAGACAGAACAGCUAACCUUCCUAUGUGGAUAGUUGUUGAUGAUCUCAAUAUCUUUUACAUAUCAAUGACUUUGAUAAGUACUAUAGUGCAAAACAAUGUUGUGCUUAAUAAUGCAAGUUAUAAGUUUUACAAGGUAGAAGCAAUCUGAAUAUUUAGAAGCUCAUUAUUUCCUAGUUUUUUUGGUUUUUUUGAAUUGUUCACAACCUGGUGCUUCGCUGUAACAUUUUGCAGGUGGCCUUUCAAGGUAAGGGAAGAUGCUCUUGAUAAUAUCUGCAACCUCAAACUUGUUCAGGUAACCAUGUAGAGAUAAACUCUUCCUUAACAAUGGUAGCGAUUAAGGUAAUCGACAAGUGUCCUUGAAAUGCAUUUGAAACAAAUCAGAUCUUGAAACACGUUUGGGGAAUUUUGUUUGUCUUCUUUUGGAGGUAGGGAAAUAAUUGGGGUUGAAUUGAGGAACUCAUAUUUACUCUAGUGCUUACCGUUGACCUGUAACCUCAGCCCUCAUGUAUUUUUGCUUUUUAUUUUGAGAAAGUAUCUGACUGUGGUGCCAAAGUGAUCUUGAAUUUUCUCUGUAGCCCAGGCAAACCUUUAACUUCUAGUCCUCUGGCCUUAAUCUGCUUAGUAGCAAGUCUCACAGACCCGAGUCACUAGGCCUGGCUUAUGUUUUCUGACAGAUUCUCUUAAACAGAACACAGUGAUUACUAAAGAACUUUGGAAUGGAUAUUGAUCCUAAGCACCUAACUGAUAAACCGAUUAUAGCUCAGUGAAGACCACCUCAUUUUCAAUAUCCAGACAGUUGAACUGGCUAAGUCAACCUGAAAUUGCGAUUUUUUGUAGGUGUUUUCUUACUUUCUUGGCUAGUUCACUGGUGUGAUUUCUCUCCACACUUCUAGCCCUUAACAUUCUCAGUUGCUAUUUUGGCAUUUCUCCAACCUUUUUGGCAAUCCUGCUUCUCCUCUACUGUGUCUAAUGUUAUUUAAGCACUAAAUGCCAUUUUUAUUCUAACUUCAAGACUGUAUGAAUUUAAUAAUCACCAUGUAGAGACAGAAGCAGGAUUCCACAUAGUUCUCAAUGUGGCCAUCAUUUUGAUGAUAUAGAUGCUAACAGUUUUAGAGAUAACCUUUGUGGGGAGGAAGACUUUUAUGAUAAAUCUCUGUCCAUUGUCUUUUGCAAGAAUCUAGGUCUGGUAGAUGCACCCAGA